rnacentral:snRNA from 1 species
ACUCUAUCCUUUUAUUUUAUCC